rnacentral:misc_RNA from 1 species
GUUAAAAGUCUUAUUGUGCUCAAACUUUUGGAUCGAGGGAAACAAGGCAACAAGGAGGUCAAUGGUUAAAAUUAUUCAAUGCACCCAUUGAAAUAUACCUUUUUCUUUUUUACAUUCACGUGUGUUAUCACCAUUAGAACUAACAUGUAGGCGUCAUAAUGUAGUGGUUAGGCUCUACUGUAUAUUUCCUUAGGAUAAUAACGCAAAUCCUUUAGAUUAAAAAGCAAGAUAUAUGACAUAAAUGGGAUGCUAAUUAUUGCUAAACAAGUUUUAAUUAUUUUGUCAUUUCCAUACAGGUGUGCAAGAACUUGUACUACAGAAGCUCUAGGAAAAGGGUUGCUUUAGGGUGGAGUCCAGCAUCUUUAAGUGUCAUUCCCAUCUGAUCGACACCAUAGAUUCUUCUGGGGAAGCUUGAUAUCAA